AAAUCCAGUCCGGGUUUCCCCGACCCCCCCCCAGCGGCCCCGGGACCCCCCGACAGAGGCACCGCACGAGUCGCAGAGUUUGGAAAACACCUUUGAGAUGAUCGAGUGCCACGUCCAGUCCUUUCUUGAGCACCCCCAGGGACGGUGACUACACUACCUCCCUGGGCAGCCCAUUCCAAUGUUUAACAACCCUUUUCGGUGAAAAAAUUCCUCCUGAUGUCCAACCUGAACCUUUCCUGGUGCAGAAUGAGGCUAUGUCCACUUGUCCUGUCUCUAGAUCCCUGGGAAAAGAGACCGACCCGCCUCUGGCUACAACCAAAGAACAUGAGGAAUUACCGACUGUCAUAUAGAUAACUCUUUACGAGCACAUGGAAAACUGUUGCAGUUAUAAGGUUCAUAUAAUUAUAGACCAUUUCUUUCGAA